UAAUGCUCCUUGAAAUGAGGAACUCAAAAGUCACGUGUAAAGAAAAAAUCUCUGUGUAGUGAUAUUGGACAUGUUUCUAUUUUUAACAAAUGACUGAACUUAAUUAUUUGUGGUGAUUAGGAAAGUAGAGGAACAUAGAAUAAAUGUGUAAAAACUAUGGAGCUAUUGAAUGUGUUCAAAGUAUUAAAUUUUCAAAGAACUUAUUGUGUUAAAAAGGGGAUAUUUUACCACAAGGAGCCGCAUCACAAAAGGAUGUUCGGGGUUUGCUAACUUACGGAAAAAGUAAUCUCACUUUGUACCCCGAAAAUUUAACCACAUAUGUGAAAAUGUCACAGCUUCGAAACGAGCUAUCAUACAUAUUCAAGUUUACGAUAUGGACUGAGCUACAGGAAUAAACGUUACCAUUACCGUCUAUGGAAAAACAAUUAAAGAUAUUGAGCCAAUUUAAAAAAAGAUAAAUCAGAAGUUUUCAGAGUGAUCUAUGGAUGAUUUCACCUUGUACACCCGGGAAAGUUGUGAAAAUGAUGUUCCAGACAUAUCAUUACUUUUUAACCUGAGAUGACAAACUAGAGGUUUUUAAAGGUCCUGAAUAACUGAAAUGGACAAAAAUACACAGAUUUAUUCAGAAUGUCAUACCGAUGAAGAUCACAUAAAAAUAUUUGGAAAAAUCAGAACUAUGGAUUGCAAUAUGGGACAACAUCCCUAAUGCGCCUUGAAAUGAGGAACUCAAAAGUCAUGUGUAAAGAAAAAAUCUCUGUAUAGUGAUAUUGGACAUGUUUCUAUUUUUAACAAAUGACUGAACUUAAUUAUUUGUGGUGAUUAGGAAAGUAGAGGAACAUAGAAUAAAUGUGUAAAAACUAUGGAGCUAUUGAAUGUGUUCAAAGUAUUAAAUUUUCAAAGAACUUAUUGUGUUAAAAAGGGGAUAUUUUACCACAAGGAGCCGCAUCACAAAAGGAUGUUCGGGUUUGCUAACUUACGGAAAAAGUAAUCUCACUUCGUACCCCGAAAAUUUAACCACAUAUGUGAAAAUGUCACAGCUUCGAAACGAGCUAUCAUACAUAUUCAAGUUUACGAUAUGGACUGAGCUACAGGAAUAAACGUUACCAUUACCGCCUAUGGAAAAACAAUUAAAGAUAU